rnacentral:rRNA from 1 species
UACGUAGGGGGCAAGCGUUGUCCGGAAUCAUUGGGCGUAAAGCGCGUGUAGGCGGUCCGGUAAGUCCGCUCUGAAAGUCGGGGGCUCAACCCUCGGAUGCGGGUGGAUACUGUCGGGCUAGAGUGCGGAAGAGGCGAGUGGAAUUCCUGGUGUAGCGGUGAAAUGCGCAGAUAUCAGGAGGAACACCAAUUGCGAAGGCAGCUCGCUGGGACGUUACUGACGCUGAGACGCGAAAGCGUGGGGAGCAAACAGG